AUGCGGCCGGGGCCCGCGCUCCUCCUCCUGGGCCUGGGCCUGGGCCUGAGCCUGAGCGGCGGCCCUGGCCGCCGCCCUCCGACCCCGGCUCCUCGGGGGGCCCGCGCCACCGUCCCCAGGGUGCCUGGCUCGCCAUCCGGCGACCUCCUCGGCCGGGAGCCCUCCUCGGCCCGCCGCGCCCCGCCCGAGGCCCGGGUCCGCGUCCCGGCGCGGCCCCGGGCGGCCGUGCUGCGCUCGGUCAGGGACGCCCGGGGCCUCGGGGUGCGCGGCGGCGGCGGCGGCGGCGUUGGCGGCGGCCGCGCCCGCCUCAGCCUACGGCCCCGCGCGGCCCCGGGCGGCGGCGUCAUCCUGAGCGGCGGCCGCGACCUCUGUCUGCGGGCCGGGCGGCUCGCAGGCCCGGCGCCGAGCUGCCUCCGCGCGCACGUCCUGCUGCGCGCCCGCCGCGCUGCCAACGCCGCCGCCGCCGCCGCGGCGCCCGCCCGCGUGGACCUGCAGCUGUCGGCGGCCGGCGGCCGGCUCUCCCUGCGCUGGCUCGCCCGCUUGCCGCGCUCGCUCGGCCGUCUGGAGUGGACCUUCCACCUCGGGCUGCUCGGGCCCACGGCCGCCGCUGCCGCCGCCCGCAUGUCGCCCCGCUCGGCGGUGGCGCCCCGCUCGGCUCUGCCCCGCGGCCCGCGCUCCUACGCGGGCUUAGCGGCCAGAACCAAGUGUCCCACGGACGGGCCCACGCCCGUCGUCUUAGAGGCUGUCAACCCGAACAGUUCCCAAGCCGUGGAGUCCUCGGUGUCCUGUCAGAUAUCACGCUCGGGGGUCUGUGUGUUGGAUUUGGUGAGGAUCAAUAGGAAUGACGAUUCUCCCCUGCAGCUGACCAGGAAGAUGGAAGUCACCAUCAAUGCCACGGUUAAGGCCCGCUGCCCGAUCCAAAGGUUCCUUGGUCAGUAUUGGAAACUCUUUCCCGUGGCCUCUGUAUCUGACAAGCCGGACUGGACUAAACCUUUGCAAAACCCACCUUUCAAGUCAGGGAACACUCCAUCAAGUGUGCAUAUCUCCGCGCAUUCUUUAUCUUGGGGGGUGUAUCUGCUUAAUUUCUCCGUGUACAUCGUCACAUAUGAUCCAAAGAUACCUCUGAAGAAAGGCUCAGAUUCCAUGUACAUCAGCGUUGUUAGAAGUCCCCUGCAGGCGGUUAUUCCUGGGGAUACCAACAUCACAGUUAAUUUCACAGAUGGGCUGACUCUGAAUGGAAAUAUGUCCUCUGAUCCAGAUGCAGAAAACCCUUUAGAGGGACUUCAUUUCUUCUGGUACUGUACCACGGACCCAAGAAACUACGACGGACAUGAAAUAACAGUGGGGAGCAAGGAAGUCUGUCUCCCAGAGCAGGUUGAUCUCAGGUGGACAUGGGCCUCUGGUCCUAUACUCACACUUUUGCCAGAAACACUUCACGGCGGCCGUGUGCAUUUUUUCAGACUGGUGAUCCAGAAGAACGACAGAACAGCAUUUUCUGAUAGGACAGUGCAUGUGCUUCAAGGACCAGCACCUGCAGCAAGCAUUUCAUGUAUUGAAAAUUGUGAUACAGUUUUGAUUAUAUCAGAGAGAUUUUCUUUGUCUCUAGAAUGCCCAGGUUGCAAAGCAGGCCGUGAUGUCUAUCGAUGGUCCAUUCUGUCGUCUUCAGGUGAUAAGAUGCCGUUUGAUUGGACGGGGCAGACUACAACAGGGCGGAAUGGUGCUUAUUUGUCUGUAAAAGCUUUCGCUUUUCGGCGUUUCGUUGAAGAUAAGUUUUGGAUUUCUCUAAAUCUAGCAACCUGGGGUGGAUCGAGCUUGGUCUUAAGGCAUCCCUUCGUUAUUCACCACGUCCCUGAAACCACAGAAUGCAAAAUUGAUCCAGCUAAAGGGAUUGCAUUCGUUACUAAAUUUGUUGUCCAUUGUAGUAGUUUCAAGGAUAAGAACAUCGUUCUUACCUAUAAGAUAAUAGUUCCUGAUGUGCGUGGUUUUGGUGAAAUCAGUUCUUUAAAAGAGAAUAACUUCGGGUCCAUCCUCUAUUUGGGGAAGAAUUGCACAGCGCCCCCUUCCUUUCUCCCUGUUGGUGUGUUGGCCAAUCAUUACGCCUUGAAAAUAUAUGCUCAGGCAUAUAAUACCUCUCUGGGAGCUUUUUCUCAGGUGACUUUGUACGCCACUGUACAGGCUCCCACUGACAUAAACUCAUCAAGGACUGUGAUGCAGGAGUUAUUCAAUUCCACUAUGGGACCAGAUUCAUCGCUGUCUACUUUGCUUCAACAGCAGGAUUUCUUACCUGCAGGUUAUUUAAUGUAUAUUGUAGCUUCUGUCUUGAAUAGCAUGAAAACGGACUCCCAUCUGCAAGCUGACCAAAUUAGACUCCGAGAACACCUUUGCAAUCAGUCUUUCAUUCUUCCUGUAAACACUUUGGCGGAAAUCAGCCAGGUGGUCAUGACUGUUACUAAAUUAACGCAGAAAACCUCCGAGUUCUCCUCAGUUGUUCAGAAACUGGCCACGGUGAGGAUUUGGCAAACAAGCCAAGCCCUCCAAGAGUGUCACCAGAGAGACACGCACAUUUCUUCUGAGCAGAUAGAAAGUGUAAGCACUGGAAUAUUAACAAGUUUGUCUAAUAUCCUGAAACUGAUGGUUCGUCAUGAAGUGGUCGAAGAGCCUUUCCAUGUCAUUGAAUCUCUAGCAGAGACAGUAUUGGCUGUGAAAGUGCCAGAGGAUAAGACCACUGCAAUGAGGACCUCCAACUUUAACAUGUAUGUCAAGAAAACGGAAAAGUGGAAUGUUACCAACUUUUUCAGCACUGAGAAACACUGUCGAAAUUGUUUUUAUCCAACCCUAAAUGUGAGCAGCGUUCCUAGUCUGCCUGCCAACGCUCCCAUUUCUACAAUGUUUUGUGAGUUUGCAGACGACCCUUUCCCUUGGCUAAAUUAUGGGGAAAACAUUUUGACCGAGGUGGUUGGAUUCCGAAUGACAGGAACCAAGGCUACUGGUGACGUGAUUGAGAUCACACCUGAUGUAGUGGAAGUGUACCUCAUCAGAAAAAACUUGAGCUUUGGGACUUUUAAUCUCACGGUGGGACCCAGCAAGGAGUCUCAUCAAGCAGAUGAGUCACUGAGGAAGACGACGGGGGCAUUCAGCUUUGAAGUGGACAGCAGAGCAGGGAAGGAGGUGUUGAUCCACAUCGUGACGGAAGUGGCCGUGUCGUUCACAGUGUUGGUGUAUGCUGGCCAUCAGAUCACACCCACCGCUUUGAUCGCCACCUACCUCGUGCCCCAUCGCAUCCCUCCAACUGCCAAAGAGAGUGACCUGUUUGACCCUGACUGUACAGUGAGGGAGGCCCGUGUGGUUUGCCUUCCCCCAUCCCUGUUGCGGGUCAUAGCUCAGCGAACCAGCUCCUCUGAGUGUACCGUCACUGUGGUUCUGCAGGCACCUCCUUUUGUCCUAAAGCCCAGUGACAAGGUAGUGAGAAUUUCUGUUUUCAGCACUCAAUGCUUGGACAUGUACGGGAUCCAGAGCGAUUGGACAGAAGAUACCUGCGUUGUCGGAGAGAAGACCACCUGGCGGAAAGUGCACUGUAUCUGCGAGAACCCAGGGCGGGCCAAGCGGCAGCUGGACGCGACGAAACUAGCCAAGCGUCACCUGCGUACCCACUAUUUGACGGCCAAGGUGAUCGUGGUCCCUAACCCCGUGGAUCUACGGUUAGAGGUCAUCAGGAACGUUACCCAAAACCCCGUGACCCUCUUCACUGUACUUUUCAUCAUGCUGUUGUACGUAGUCCUAGCGUUCUGGGCCUUGCACAGAGAUGAAAUGGACAGGUGUCUUAGGGAUCAUGUGGUAGUUCUACCUGAUAACGAUCCUUAUGAUAAGGUAUGUUACCUAGUCACUGUUUUUACAGGCAGCCGUUGUGGGUCUGGGACCAGGGCCAAUGUCUUUGUCCAACUGCAGGGAACAGAGGGUAGCAGCGAGGUGCACUGUUUAAGCCAUCCACAGUUUACAACCCUCUACCGAGGAAGCAUCAGCACUUUCCUCCUAACGACGAAAGAUGACUUGGGGGACAUCCAUUCCAUCCGCGUGUGGCACAACAACGAGGGCAGGUCCCCUAGUUGGUAUUUAAGUAGAAUCAAAGUGGAGAAUCUGUUCAGCAGACACAUCUGGCUGUUCAUGUGCCGGGAAUGGCUUUCUAUUGACACCUCUUUGGACAGAACCUUUCAAGUGACCCCCCCAGAUAAGUCUCUCAACAGAAAGGAUUUUUUCCUUACAGAUUUAAGUUAUAGGCUGGGGAGAAGCCACAUGUGGUUCUCUGUUUUUUCUGGCGUCAUUGCUGCACCGUUCAGUAGGCUCCAGAGACUGUCCUGUUGCUUAGCCAUGUUGCUCUCCUCCCUUCUGUGUAAUAUUAUGUUCUUUAGUCUAAAUAAAGAAAAAGAAGCGGAGUCACAAGAGGCGAAGUACCUCAGGUCGAUGGUGAUCGGGUUGGAAAGUGCCUUAAUGACCAUCCCCGUGCAACUAAUGAUCACGUCUCUGUUCAUCUAUGCCCAGAGGAGACCUCAAGUGACCCUAAGGGAGGUCGCUCCUCGGAAGCAUCCGCAGACAGCAGCAGCAAGUGAACACUGGGAAGAACGAUUAGCAAAGUGGCACGCUCGUGAAACUGACGGCACACACUCCCAGGAGCCUGAAGAGCUUCCACCUACUAGGAGAAGUCCUGGACUUCCCAAGGCUUCUGUCAAGGCCACCUCGGAAAGACGGCCCCAGCCCAAGCCAACAGAAAGCAAGGUCUCCCGCACCCAAAGAAAAAAUAAAAACGCCAAUAACCCAAACGUUGAAGACAAUCAAAGUGUUUCUUCUGGAGAGCACCCUCCCCAGCCCGGUGCUACACCCCUCAAAGAGAAGACCAGGAUCGUUCUGCCGUGGUGUUGCGUUUAUGUCGCGUGGCUCUUGGUUUUUGUCACUUGUAGCAUAUCCUCAUUCUUUAUUGUACUUUAUGGACUGACUUACGGCUACGAAAAGUCAAUAGAAUGGCUGUUUGCAUCAUUUUGUUGCUUCUUGCAGUCAGUUUUUCUGGUGCAACCAUCUAAAAUUAUACUCGUGUCAGGCUACAGAACGAGUAAACCCAAGUAUUGUAAAAACCUUCCGUGGGUUGGCAGCUGUCGCUACAGUGAGAUCAAGCUGCAGAGCAUCGCGAAGAACCCAGAGGAAAUGCGCAGGCGCCAGCAGCACGUGGCCCGGCUCCGAAGCUCGAGGAUGUACCAGCCCCUCACUGAAGACGAAAUCACAAUAUUCCAAAGAAAGGAGAGGAUCAAGAGAAGAGCUUUCGUGUUCCUGAGCUACAUCCUCGCUCACUUCAUGUUUCUGGCCCUCCUGUUGAGCCUGGUCACCCUCCUACGCCACACCGACGGCUUUUACUAUAAUCGGGUUAUUCGUGACCGGUUCUCUGUGGGUCUGGCGUCGGUGGCCAAGCUGGAAGACAUCUUCCGGUGGCUGGACACCGUGCUCUUGCCUCUGCUCCACAACGACCUGCGCCCCACCUUUCUCCCUGACAGCUCCUCUAAAAUCCUUGGCCUGCCACUGAUGAGGCAGGUGAGGGCGCAGCCUGGAGAGAAAACCUGUCUGCCUGCCAAGAGCUUCAUGCGGGACAGCCUCGAAAGAGAGAUUCGCUGUCACCCCGAAUACGGCACUGACCCGGAAGACACAAAAAACUACUCCGGGUUGUGGAGUAGAGUUAGUAAGCGGGCUGUAGACAAGACCACGGAAGGAUUUACUUACAAGCCUCGAGAAAGGAGAUGGGUGUACUAUUCCUAUGGGCUGUGGCAUACCUACGGGUCAGGAGGGUACACGUUCUAUUUCUUUCCGGAAGAACAGCAGUUUAAUUCCACACUGAGGCUCAGCGAACUCCAGGGAAGCCAUUGGCUGGAUGAGAAGACAUGGGCUGUGAUUUUGGAACUAACAACUUUUAAUCCAGACAUCACUCUCUUCUGCAGCAUCUCAGUCAUCUUUGAGGUCUCUCAGUUAGGAGUUGUGAACGCCAGCCUGUCUGCGCACUCCUUCUCGCUUGCCGAUUUCGACAGAAAAACUUCCGCAGAAAUCUACUUGUACGUGGCCGUCCUCAUUUUUUAUUUUGCCUACGUUGUCGGCGAGCUCUACCUCAUCACACGAGAAAGGUCCGCCUACGUGAAAAGUGUAUAUAAUUUGCUCAACUUUGCUUUAAAAUGCAUCUUUACCCUGUUGAUCGUGCUCUUUUUCAGGAAACACUUCUUGGCUGUCGGUAUAAUUCGGUUUUACCUGUCGAACUCCGAGGAUUUCAUUCCCUUUCAUGCGGUGUCUCAGGCAGAUCACUCCAUGAGGCUGAUUUUGGGCUUCCUGUUGUUUCUAACCAUCCUGAAGACCCUCAGGUAUUCCAGGUUCUUUUACGACGUGCGUCUCGCACAGAGGGCCAUCCGGACGGCCCUUCCCGGCAUCUGCCACGUGGCACUAGUGGUGUCCGUGUAUCUCUUUGUCUUCGUGACGUUUGGUUACCUGGUAUUCGGGCAGCACGAACGGAACUACAGCGAUGUGAUUCAUGCCACGCAGACGAUUUUCUCCUACUGCGUUUCGGCUUUUCAGAACACGGAAUUUUCCAGUAACCGGGUUCUUGGGGUCCUCUUUCUCUCAUCUUUUAUGCUGGUGAUGAUCUGCAUAUUGAUCAACUUAUUUCAGGCGGUGAUUUUGUCUGCCUACGAGGAAAUGAAGCAGCCCGUGUAUGAGGAGCCCUCAGAAGAAGCGGAAGCAGUGACCUACCUGUGUCACAGACUAAGAACCGCAUUUGGCUUUCUGUCCUUCAGAUCCAGGGCAGACCAACCCAAGUUCUUUGUCAACAUGGUGUAUGGGCAGCCAGAGAAGAACAACAGGCGACACGUGGGGCUGAAGACCAGAAACAUUAAUGGGAAGAAAAUGGUUUAUCUCGUGGUCUGAUCCAUGACAGUCUUAAGAUCCACAGGGCAGCUUCUCUCAGAUGCUCAGUUUCUGGGAUUAAGGAACGUUUAGCGGCUCAGUUGUGCUUUCUACCCGUGUCCUUCACAAUGCACACCCCCUACGUCUGGACGCGUCCACAGUCUUGGCCUCCCCUUUGGAACUUGAGAGGAGGGUGUCAGAGCGCAGUGCGGCCUCUACAGAGAGAGGAGGAUGACAGCCUGUGAGGCCUGGGUUCAUUUCCCUGUGGCUGGGAAGCUGGUGUCUUUGGAACCUGCUGCAGUUUAGAAGAUGGCGUGUGAGGCGGAGCGCUGCCCCUUGGGUGUGUUUGAGUGCCAGCUCUGUGCCUUAGCGGCUCCAUAUAGC